UACGUAGGGUGCAAGCGUUGUCCGGAAUUAUUGGGCGUAAAGAGCUCGUAGGCGCCUGUCGCGUCGGCUGUGAAAACCCGAGGCUCAACCUCGGGCCUGCAGUCGAUACGGGGCAAAACUAGAGUACUGCAGGGGGAGACUGGAAUUCCUGGUGUAGCGGUGAAAUGCGCAGAUAUCAGGAGGAACACCGGUGGCGAAGGC
rnacentral:rRNA from 1 species